CAAGUGACCUUAGGACAUUUGUUCAGUGCCUAUAAGGUCUGCCUAUAGGCAUGUUGUUAAGACUAAGGCAUCUACUUGGGAGAGAGAAUGGACAGUGAGGAGAAUUCAGAGGGAAGAAGAAGGAAGUUGGCCCUAGGUGUCACUGGAAAACAUGGAGAAAUAAAUGUUCCUGGAGAAGACACAGAUGCUAAGCAUUGGCAGCUGUAAUUUUAUUAUCCACCAUAAAGAACAUUGCAGUACAUAUUACCAACAAUCACACUAGGAAUGAGGAAAUCAAGCAUGGAAAUUAUGAAGCAGUCUGCCAAAUUUCCCUCACCUAGUGGCAGGUCCAGAACUUCAACCCAAACCUUUGUCUCUGGAAUGUCGCUAUGCCGUUCAAGGAGGGAAGCUUCAAGGACUUUGACAUGCCCAAAAACCCAGGAAUCAUCUUUGGCACUCCUACAUGAAUCACAGUCACAUCUGACAGCAGUGGAUCAAACACCACAACCUUCUUUCUGAAUCCUCCUGCCAUGAUUAUCACAAAGUUGUAACUUCAGAUCAGAAAAUAUAGCUGCUGUUGACAAUAUGCAUUCUCACAACUUAACUUAUAAGCACUAGAGGGCAGCCAGGAGCUCAGAUUGAAUAUCAAAAUACUUCAGCUCUCUGGUGGCAGAGGUUCACUAAAAAAUGACUUCCUUUUGAGUUUCA